GGUAACAUGGCCGAGUGGUCUAAGGCGCUGGAAUUAGGUUAAUGACGUAAUCCAGUCCUCCGGGGCGUGAGUUCGAACCUCACUGUUAUCA